rnacentral:rRNA from 1 species
UACGGAGGGUGCAAGCGUUAUCCGGAGUCACUGGGUUUAAAGGGUGCGUAGGUGGGCAGGUAAGUCAGUGGUGAAAUCUCCGAGCUUAACUCGGAAACUGCCGUUGAUACUAUUUGUCUUGAAUAUUGUGGAGGUAAGCGGAAUAUGUCAUGUAGCGGUGAAAUGCUUAGAUAUAACAUAGAACACCAAUUGCGAAGGCAGCUUACUACACAACGAUUGACGCUGAGGCACGAAAGCGUGGGGAUCAAACAGG